GUGGGUCUGUGAGCACUGAUGUGAAGGCAGCUGAAGAAUUUUGGAAACUCUAGAUAAGCUGAUUGUGGAGGAAAAUUACUUGCCAGAGCAAAUAUUCAAUAUGGAUGAAACUUCCCUAUUCUGGAAACAGAGGCCUGAAAGGACUUUCAUCCAUAAGGAGGCCAAGUCAAUGCCAAGUUUCAAGCCUUUUAAGGACAUGUUAACAGUCUUGUUGGGGACGAGGUUAAGGGCUACAAAUGGAAACCCUUUGUGAUCUGGCACAGCAACAACCUCAAUGCCUUCAAGCACAUCAACAAGCACACACUGCCAGUGCAGAACAGGAGCAAUAAGAAGUCAUGGAUUACCCAACUCCUCUUCCAAGAUCCCCUCCUGAAUUGCUGUGCCAGUGAAAUGGAGAAGUGCUGUUUGGAGAAUAACAUACCUUUCAAGAUUUUGCUUAUUGUCGAAAACACUCUUGGACAUCCUCCUUUUACUGGUGGUCUUCAUCCCAAUAACAAUGUUAUGUCUUCCUCCAAACACCACCUGUUUGAUCCCACCACUGGAUCAAGGAGUUACAGCAGCUAUAAGGCCUUUGCCCAGGCUAUUGCUGCAACUGAGGAAGACACUCAUGCAAUUCUGGAAGGAGUACAACAUCUGUGACUGCAUCAAGAACUUCGCUUGGCUUGGGUUGAUGUCACCAAGGAGUGUAUGAAUGGCAUCUGGAAGAAAACACUUAAGAGGCUCAUCCAUGACUUCAGAGGAUUUGCCGAGGACGAGGAGUUUGUGAAAAUCAACAAGGCUGUGGGUGAGGUGGCAGACAACUUUAGUCUGGGUGAAUCAGGAUGACACCGAGGAGCUGCCAGAGACGUUCCCGAGGGUUGACUACCGAGGAGUUGUUGGAACUGGAACGGGAAUGCAGAGCUGAAGAAGAGGCGAGAGAAAGGAAACUACAGGAGAAGAAAAAGCACCCCCAAGAAAAUUCACAGUGAAGGGUUUAGCAGAAGAUUUGCAGACCUCAACAAGCUCCUUAAAAAGUUUGAAAACACGGACCCCAACCCAAAAGGUUUUCAUCAAUAGAGAGGAAUGUUCAUGGUGCAUUAUCUGCUUACAAGCAAAUCUAUGAGGAAAAACAGAAACAAACCAAGCAAACCACCGUGGACAUAUUUCUGAAAAGAGUGACACCUCCUCAGUAAGCGCCUCAGGCAGGUCCUUCAGGGGGUGUUCCAGAAGAAGCAUCGUAUCACAGGAGAUGACGGCUCCCUGCGUGUUAUUGCCCCUGAAGACCUUCCAGUGGGACAAGAUGUGGAGGUGGAAGUCAGGGAUACUGAUGAUCCUGACGCUGUGCAGGCCUAGGCUAAUGUAAACAGUGUGGUAAGUGCUGAUAUCCUGACGGACACAUUGGAGCAAGAGAUGGGACACAGUCCGGCUAGAGGGAGGUGGACAGAGAACCCAACACAUCUGGGAGGGGAACGGCCUCUCGCGGACGGGGAGUCUGCACUGAGUGCAGAGGCCACAGGGGAGCUCGCUGGUCUGCGGACUUUGCAGCAAAGGUGUGUGCCAUAGAUGGUGCAAUGCUCACUCGUCUGCCACCGGCAUGGAGGAAUGUGAGACAGAGUCUGAACUGCAUUCAGCAAACACUGCCAUCCAGGUUCUAGUCAGCCUGAGAUCACGUCUCAGCUCCAUCAGCUGAUGUCAUUUUCAUUCAAGCCAAGAAACUGUGUUGGUUAAUUCACACUGACUAUCUUAAAGGUCAUCUCCAUUGGACUUUGGGAAUAUUGGGGAAAAAACCCUGAGGAACAUCCGGCCCUGAGCUGCCUUCAAUAAAUCUCAGUGGUCACUGAUUUCAGCUUCCAGACUUCCCUCCUCCUCCCACAUCCCACCCCCCUCUCCCUGUGAGCUAGCUGAUCCUGCGUUACAGAGCCCAGAGCACAGGCUUGAGUGUGACACCAGGUCAAAGGCAGGGGCUGUGACGGGACUUUGGAGGGAGGGAGGGCCCAGCUCUCCUCUUGCCUGGGCCCUGGGGACCUCCUUCCUGACAACAUUUCACCGUCUCUAGAAAUCUCUCUGGGGGCAUCUGUCUGGAAAGUCUGCGCACAGGAAGCUGCCUUGCACGCAGAUGUUACCGCUGACCGUUUGUUGGUCAGUGACCUGCACACUGAGUGAACAGCACCUCCUAGAAUACCCAGUGCAGGCACGUCGCCGGCUGCAGACACAGGGGGCCUGCCUCUCAGCGCCCGGCUGCAGGAAGAAGUCAGGUCGCCUCCACGGAUGGUGUGUCCACGUGUGUGAUGAGUUUUAAAGAAACACAAGAUGGUAAAUGGAGAAUGAAGAGAAGCUAGAAUAACGCGCCCCCGCGCCCAGGGCGGAUGGGCAAGCUGUGAGCCCCUGAUCCUUCCACACGUCUGGCCGAGCACUUGUCCAUCUUCCCAGGAAGACGGAGCCCUGUCACCUGAGUGCCAUGGAGGAGUCUCCGGGGAAACUCGCCCAGAACUGAGGCCUAUGGUAAAUGUGGCCAUUUGCAUCCAUGAAAAUUAUCAUUUAUAUACGCAAAGUAUGUACCAUCCAUUAACAGUGCAAUACGCUAUCAUUACACACCAUUAAAGUUUCAAAAAUAGCUGGUUUAACUAAUGAUCUGUUCUGAUUUGGUGGCCUCUGGAGUAACACAAUUCUUAAAUAUCACACCAAACCAACACUGGCCGACGUAGCCUUCCAUUUUUCUGAAACGGAAAUUGGAAUUGGUUGCUGCAAGGAAGGGGUGGCAGGGUCGGGAGACGCACCUGAGGUUGCGAAAGGGUCAGAAUUCAAAAGGUCAGGUGCUGAGGUGAGGGGG
ensembl:lncRNA